CGGGGACCCGCACAAGCGGUGGAUGAUGUGGUUUAAUUCGAUGCAACGCGAAAAACCUUACCCACCUUUGACAUGGCAGGAAGUUUCCAGAGAUGGAUUCGUGCCCGAAAGGGAACCUGCACACAGGUGCUGCAUGGCUGUCGUCAGCUCGUGUCGUGAGAUGUUGGGUUAAGUCCCGCAACGAGCGCAACCCUUGCCAUUAGUUGCUACGAAAGGGCACUCUAAUGGGACUGCCGGUGACAAACCGGAGGAAGGUGGGGAUGACGUCAAGUCCUCAUGGCCCUUAUAGGUGGGGCUACACACGUCAUACAAUGGCUGGUACAGAGGGUUGCCAACCCGCGAGGGGGAGCUAAUCCCAUAAAGCCAGUCGUAGUCCGGAUCGCAGUCUGCAACUCGACUGCGUGAAGUCGGAAUCGCUAGUAAUCGCGGAUCAGAAUGUCGCGGUGAAUACGUUCCCGGGUCUUGUACACACCGCCCGUCACACCAUGGGAGCGGGUUCUGCCAGAAGUAGGUAGCCUAACCGUAAGGAGGGCGCUUACCACGGCAGGGUUCGUGACUGGGGUGAAGUCGUAACAAGGUAACCAAGGGC
rnacentral:rRNA from 1 species